CCAUGACCUCCGCCCCGCCCCAUGCCCUCCGCCCCACCUCCAUGACCUCCGCCCCCACCUCCAUGACCUCCAGCGGGGCCUCCACCUUCGCCAUAUCCUCAGCCUCCUCUGACUACACGGUUCCCCCCCCCGGGGGUAAACCCGGGGAGCCCCCGGCGCCCCCGGUUUGGGAGGGGGGCGGCUGGCAGGACGCGGUGGGCGACUCGGGCAUCGAGGAGCUGGACGGCCACAGCAGCAGCGAGCAGCACCUGGAGAGGCUGGGGGAGGAGAGGGGUGGGGAGGGGGGAGGAGGAGGAGAGUACCAGGACCCCUACAUGUCUUACGCCGACAACCAAUCGUAUCAGAACACGAGUGCGGCAAACCCAGUGUCUCCAAGGAGGAGUCAGUACAAAGAGGCUGGGGGAAGGGCGCCCCCUGUGGCGCUACGCCGCCAGGGCAGCGCCCACCCUGCUCCCCCCCCCCACCCGGCCGUGCAGCCCCAGUUGCACGUGGAGGAGGACUUGAGGAGGGAGGACUUGAGGAGGGAGGACUUGAGGAGGGAGGACUUGAGGAGAGAGGACUUGAGGAGAGAGGACUUGAGGAGGGAGGACUCUGCAUCGGAGGAGAGGAAACGCAGGCUGAUCCGAAACAAAAUGGAGGAGGGCUUCGGCUCAGCGCUGGCCGCCUGCUUGGACCGACCCAUGGAGGCCCGGACCGCGGGCUGGGGGGAGGCGGGGGAGCCGGGGGAGCCGGAGCGCCCCGGGGGGGGGCUCCAGCGGGGCGGCAUUUCCCUGGAGGGACGCCGCCUUCACUCGCCGCUCUCUGGCGUGAAGGCGAGCAUCCUCAACGAGCUGAGCUCCAAGCUGCAGCAGAUGGGCAGCAUCAGGAGCCUUGAGGACUGGAGCCACGCCCCCCGCUCCCCCACCACGCACAGGUACUCUGCAGACCUCAGCGAGGCGUUCCACAGCCCCCCCACCGGCCGCUCCACCUCCCCCCUGCCCACGUCCUCCCCCCAACACCACCAGAUCCUCACCCCCAACCUGUCGGCCACGCCCUCCAUGUCCCCCUCCUCCCAGGCGCGGCGCCGCGGCCCUGGGCCCGCUCCCCUCCCCC
ensembl:lncRNA